GAACCAAGCUGAACAAAAUAGAGUUCAUAAGGAUGUUAUGUUACUACUACCUUUCACUAAAACCUCCUCUACGCUGGGAACUCUUCUCGUGGCUGUGGAUAUGAUCAAGAAGUUGAGAGACAACACUUUGACUACCAUUAUCACUGAAAAUAUUCAGCUCGGAUACAUCAGGUUCAGGGGACACACCCGCUUCAAGUUCAGCAGCAGUCAUAACUUCAAGUUCCUGCAGCCAAAUUGAUACCUGUACAAGAGUUGCAGAAAAUUUUCUUCUCUACGAAUGAUAAAAGAGUGAGGAACAGAGUUACACUUUAUCAGCUCGACAAACGCUCAAAAUACGGCGCGUAGAUUCGAGUUCAAGUGUACGAUCGCCAAUGGGAAUCAAAUCUCCACCGCCUUUUUGUGAAGAGAAAACCCGGCGGCGAAGGAGGUGACGUGACUUCUUUUGUAGGAAACACGCAAAGCGGUGAAGAGGAACGUGGGUUGUAGGAUCUGAGCGAGAAUACCGAGGUAGAGAUGGAGAGUAAGUAACCGUCCAUGUUCAGUCUCCAGCUUCUCAUUAUUACUCUCUUUUUUUUUUAUAAAUGUUCUUGAAAUCUCGUGGAAGAUUUUAUAUUUUUAUAAAAAUAUCAGCGAGGAACGGAAUGGUAUUUGACUAAUAACUUAGGCUUGACUCCGCCGGCAUCCAUGGCUACUUUCCUGGCGGGAAGAUCGCCGGUUACUAUUGACGAAUCGGGUUCUUUAUUUAAAAUACUUAUAAGCUUUAAUACUUUGGGCUUUAUAAUUUGGGCUUUAUAGUUUGGGCUUUAUAAUUUGGGCUUUAUAGUUUGGGCUUUGAAUCUGUGGUCACAUUUGUUACUUCGUGCACUAUCUGAACCAAUUUAUAUCGAACCUAUUGUUAGUUUGAAGUUUGAACUAGCCGCGCCCGCAGGUGAAUUGAUUUUAUUGCACACCUUUUUUUUGGUGUAAAUUUUUUUAUUUUUUACUAGGGUUGGCCCGCCCUACGGGCGGGAAGUUACAAUAAAAACUAUUUCAUAUAAAUAUAUAUUAAUUUUAAAAAGUAUUUAAAAAUCAUUAUAGAUUAAAACGAUAUUAUAAAUCAAUUAAUAAUGAAUAUAACUCUGAGAUCAUACUGUUAACUUUAAUAAAUAUUUUUGGCUUUAAUUAAAAUAGAGGUGAAAGAGCGUGUUGCCCGAAUAUAAGAUUAUAGAUGUUGCCCGAAUAUAAGAUUAUAGACACCAUAUCUUUAAAUUUUCUCUCACAGCUCUCCAGUAUGUAGGGUCUUCCACCUAUAGAUUUAUAAACUCAUCUAAUAGUUAUAACUUAUAAUACCUAUUUAAUAAGAUAUAUCUGAUGAGACUCAUAUGUUUAAGCUUUUAAAAGCUAAGAUACACAGGCUACUUGUGCAGAAGGGUAUUAAUUAUUGAAACAAAUAAGUAUGUUUUAUCUAUCUUAUAUUGGGGUUUCUCUACAUUAUUAAUCGUUACUUGACUUAACUAUCUGUAUUUUAAUGUCGUGGGUGUGGACUUCAUUUUUUAUGUAAAAAGUUUUGGGCCGUUAAUGUCCGUAAAAAAAAGAAUGAAUUCUUGAAAUUUUAAAUGUUUGGAUUACAUGAUGUUUUGGAAUCAAAGGCGAUGCUUACUUGGUGGACUCACCUCCUUUUACUAUUUUCUUUUCUUUAGCUCUGAUUUCUUAAAUAUCCUCCAUGAAAGAUAUUUUUAAAGCCCAUUUAAACUACUGAAUGCUUGUAAAUAUUUUAAGGCCCGUGUCUAAGUCGUCUUCUUCUUAUCUCAAGAGCCGGUAAACAAAAUAUAUAUCCGCCGUUCCUGAUUUCUCUCAUCUCAUCUCUGACUUCUCGCUUUUUAAUAACUUUCUAUCUUAUUAUUUUAUUUUCUUCUCUGUUUCAUUGCUGAGAAAGCGGAGGAAAUUUUUCUUUGCUUUUAUUACCGAUAUUCGGUUUGUUUUUUUUUUUGUGUUUCUCUUGGUGACCAGAUUCUGGUUCGUGUCAUGUUUUUUUCUAGAUUCUGCAAACUCGUUAUCUCUUUAAAUCAAUUGUCUUUUAUUGAUUUUUGAUUUAAAGCAUCGAACUUUCCCUCAAGAUCUAUGGCGGAAUAGCAUCAACGUCAGACGCCGGAAGGCCACCGUCUGUGUUCUAUCAUCUGCGGCUUCCUCGGCUGCCCCACCACCAUGAAUAUUUGCUCCAACUGCCACGGCCAUCUCUGCCUCAAGAAACAAACUUGCGUGAAAUCCUCUAUCUCUGCAGUCCCCAUCCCCUCACAUCCGCUCAAUUGAUAUAACGACGGGUUGAAAUGCCAAUCCGGGAUGACUUGUUGCCCAUGCGCCCAUAGAUUCCCGGAGGUCCAUGGCUCAGCUUUCAUUUCAAAUCGCCGGUCGCGAAAAAAUUCGCUGGUCUCGAAUACUGAAAGUAAGAUUUCUCUCGAUAUUAGAAAAUAGAAGAAUGAUGUUCAAGGGAUGAAUACUAACCUUUUUAUAGGUGAGAAUCACCGAUUAGAUGAUAGAUAAGAUUCAUUGAAUUAGAGAUUGU